GUAAAAAAGUAUACAAGACGAAUUGGGUUGCGCAAAGUUGAGUCGAAGUGAAACCGUUGCCGAGUACAGUGAAUUAAAGUAAAUGAUCGGAAUUUCGCUGAACGAAACACUCAUCAAACGUAUCAAUUUCAAAUAAAAAAAAUUGAUAAUCACUUCCAAGUGUUGCCAGUUCGUCGUACAUACAAAUGUAUGUAUAUUAUAUAACAUCCCAUUUUGGUAUAACAAUAAAAAUUUAAAAAUCAAUAAAUGCUUCAAAAAAGCAGCAAAAUCAAAAGUGUUUAAAGUUUCAUUAAAAAAAAAAGAUUACAUAUAUAUAUAUAUAAUAUAUACUUGCUAUACUUAUAACUUACUUGGCUGUGUGUGUGCAUAUCACUUUUGUAUAGUUGUGUGCAUGACAUUGCGCUUGAUAACCUCGAAAGUGUAUUGAAUAACAACAAACAAGCAAAAGCAUAAAAAAAUAACAAAAAAAAAAAAACAAAAAAAAAAAGAAUCAACAAACAAUCAAUUAAACCCAAAAUCGUGUAGUGAAAAUAGUAAAUAAAUAGUGUGCGAAUAUUUGUAUGUGUGUUCUAAGCGCGUCAUAGAGUGACAACUUUAAAAAAAAAAAAAGAAAGAUUAGAGCUAUCUUAAGGAAUUUCAACGCGUUAUCUUCUCCAAUCAGCGCAAUCAAUUUUUUUCUAGCAAAAUCAAUCGCGUUAAAAACAGGUAUGUACAUCCACUUACACAUAUAUGACGUCUUCAAGCUUCGUGUCUGUGAAAUGAUAAGAUGACUUUUUGACUUAAUUGUCGGAAGUUUGGUUUGUUAAAAAGUCACUCUAUGCUUUGUUGAAAGGACUACAAAUCGUAAGUAUAAAAAU